GAUGAACGCUGGCGGCGUGCUUAACACAUGCAAGUCGAACGAUGAAGCCCAGCUUGCUGGGUGGAUUAGUGGCGAACGGGUGAGUAACACGUGAGUAACCUGCCCUUAACUCUGGGAUAAGCCUGGGAAACUGUGUCUAAUACCGGAUAGGAGCGUCCACCGCAUGGUGGGUGUUGGAAAGAUUUAUCGGUUUUGGAUGGACUCGCGGCCUAUCAGCUUGUUGGUGGGGUAAUGGCUCACCAAGGCGAUGACGGGUAGCCGGCCUGAGAGGGUGACCGGCCACACUGGGACUGAGACACGGCCCAGACUCCUACGGGAGGCAGCAGUGGGGAAUAUUGCACAAUGGGCGCAAGCCUGAUGCAGCGACGCCGCGUGAGGGAUGACGGCCUUCGGGUUGUAAACCUCUUUCAGUAGGGAAGAAGCGAGAGUGACGGUACCUGCAGAAGAAGCACCGGCUAACUACGUG
rnacentral:rRNA from 1 species